rnacentral:misc_RNA from 1 species
ACACACACACACACAAGUUUUUUGGUUAGGUACUUUUUAGGCCGCGCUUAGUCCACUUGGAAUAUAUGAAAAAGAAGAGCAAUAUUUUUUCAAAUCCGCUAUUUUUCUGUGCCUUACAAGAAGUUUUUUUUUUCCAUCAAAGUGUCUAUUCCUGCACCACACAACAUGCGCUAAGCUCCGCUCUACCGGGUCUGCCACAGGCACCCAGCGCGCGGUGCAACGCAGCCGCAGACACGCAUCAAAGCAGUGCCCGCUUUGCCAUCGGACCAGGGACUCGCCCGCAAACACUAGCGACACACCUGCCCUUCAGGCCGCCGAACAGCCGCUUCGAGUAUGCCGGUCGCCACGUGACACAUCGCUCGGGGUAGCCCAGCCUCCCCACCAGUAGGCAGCGAGAGCCGAGUGGGAUGCAUUGGAUUCACGCCAACGCCCUGCCCAUCAUAUGGGCGGCGCAAGCGCGCUGACGGUUUCAAGUUGCCCCAAAGGCGCGCCAUCCAGCCGCCGACCGCAAACAUCAGUAGCGACACAUCCCGCCGGCCCCCGAUGCCUAGGGCGCCAAGCCCCACCACAACCAGUGAUGACGCAGCAUUGCCCAGAAUAGGGGCUAUUCGGCUUCGCUAGACACAGAGUGGGAACUGGGACCUGAUGCCAUGCGCUGAGGUGUACGCUGUUGGGAGGGCACUUUAACAACUGCCCCUCAAAAAAAAAACCGAGGUAGAUUUCGAAAAUGUUUGCGAAGAGCGGCCGCGCCGACUACUACUGGUCUGACACGGAGUAUACGCACAGAACGCGGAACCGUGAGAUGCUGAAGGCACAUGGAGCAGAGAUCAAAAAGCUGUACGGCCCGGACCCGUGGCUUCGGUAUCUAAUGACACCGUUUGUUCUGCUCCAGAUUUAUCUUGGGUACCGUGCGAAGGACAUGGGGUGGCCCACUCUUCUUCUCGUCGGAUAUUUCGUGGGUGGAACAAUUACGCACAGCUGUUUCUUGGCAAUUCACGAGGCCACGCAUGGCCUCUGCUUCAUCACGCCGCUCUACAACGACCUUUACGCACUGUUCGUGAAUCUGGUGGUGCCCGUGCCAUAUGCGAUGAUGUUCAAGACUUACCACGCUGAGCAUCACCGCUACUUGGGCUGGGACGGCAUUGACUCUGAUGUGCCCACGCGGUUCGAGGGAAGGUAUCUAUCAAGCUACGCUGGCAAGUUUUUCUUUCUCACGUUUCAGGUGCUGUUCUACGCUCUCAGGCCCACUGUUGUGCGGACGAUCAAGUUUGAGAAGCUGCAUGUGAUGAACUACGUUGUGCAGCUGAUGUUCAACCUGCUCGUGUACUACUUCUGGGGCUGGUGGCCACUGCUGUACUUCCUUCUCUGUACUUUUCUAGGCACCAGUUGGCACCCACUCGCUGGUCACUUCAUCUGAGCAUUUUGUGCUCACGGGCAACGGUGGGCAAGAGACAUUCUCGUACUACGGCCCGCUGAACUGGCUAAUGUGGAAUGUCGGCUAUCAUGUUGAGCACCACGACUUUCCAAACAUUCCAUGGACACGAAUAGGGAAGCUGAAUACUAUUGCACCGGAGUUCUACGUUGAUCUGCACCGUACCAAGUCGUGGCCCGGGACUCUGUUCGACUUCCUACUAGACCCGAACGUGAGCCUCUGCAGCCGUGUUGUGCGCGAGCGCGGCUCUGCCGGACGUGAGAAGCUACUGCCGACAUCGACGGGUCGCAUGAAGGCGGCGGAGCCACACCAGGGUCCGUGCUUGUGGAAAAAGGAAGGUGGACCUAACAGCAGAGUGCUGUUCUUUCAUAUUCAGUGAUUUUUUCUGAUUUGGCUUUCGUCAAAUAGUUAAGAGGUCAUGCUGUUCGCUGGAUCGCUUAGCGCGAUGACAUCUAUUUAAAAGUUAUUCUUCGUGGAAGCGGUGCGUUGUGUCACUCUAUUUUUUCUUGCCUCUCCCUUCCCUUGGUCGGAAUUGCAUUGGUUCGUUGCUCUUCAUCUCUUGCUCUCUAGGGAGUAUUUUCAUUAAGACGGCUAAAGCUCUUACUUACGUUCGAGCUUUUGUGCGUGUGCAAGGUGCUUUGCCGGCGCGGCGGCGCAUCAUGCUUUUUUCCCUUGGCUUCAUUCCCUUCCGUGUUGGGCUGCAAAAGACAUGCGCGAACUAGCGGCUACAGGACGACAAAC